UUGAAACCUCCACAGCCAAUAUGGGCCGAAGCCGAAGGACCAGUUGGAAGUAUUCAGCAGCAGAAGAAAACCAAACUCUCCACCUUUUUAUCCUCAAAAGAGUUUCAAUCAACGAUGUCCUCAAAAACCAGGAACAGGAAUCUUCCUGGAACUUGGAAGCUUCGCCAAUGUGAACUCUUCAGAUUAUGAGUCAGAGUCUUCCCUGGAGGAUAUUUCUGUAACUUCUUCUUCUUCCUUGGAUUCCGGAGCAGAAAUUGAGGAAAACAACAGAGAAUGGAAUUGUUUGAGGCUACACAGAGCCAAAUUCAGAAGCUAAAGCAUCCCGCUUCUGCAGAAUCGAGCAGAAAGUUUUGGAUUUCUUGUUGUUUGUUAGUUCUCC